rnacentral:rRNA from 1 species
AUUGAACGCUGGCGGCAGGCCUAACACAUGCAAGUCGAACGAGUGGCGGACGGGUGAGUAAUGUCUGGGAAACUGCCUGAUGGAGGGGGAUAACUACUGGAAACGGUAGCUAAUACCGCAUACCAUCAGAUGUGCCCAGAUGGGAUUAGCUAGUUGGUGGGGUAACGGCUCACCAAGGCGACGAUCCCUAGCUGGUCUGAGAGGAUGACCGGCAGCACUGGAACUGAGAAACGGUCCAGACUCCUACGGAAGGCAGCAGUGGGGAAUAUUGCACAAUGGGCGCAGGCCUGAUGCAGCCAUGCCGAGGGUAUGAAGAUGGCCUUCGGGUUGUAGAGUACUUUCAGCGGGGAGGCGUUACCCGCAGAGGAAGCACCGGCUAACUCCGUGCCAGCAGCCGCGGUAAUUC